AAUGGGCGCAAGCCUGAUGCAGCCAUGCCGCGUGUGUGAAGAAGGCCUUCGGGUUGUAAAGCACUUUCAGUAAGGAGGAAAGGUUAGUAGUUAAUACCUGCUAGCUGUGACGUUACUUACAGAAGAAGCACCGGCUAACUCCGUGCCAGCAGCCGCGGUAAUACGGAGGGUGCGAGCGUUAAUCGGAAUUACUGGGCGUAAAGCGUACGCAGGCGGUUUGUUAAGCGAGAUGUGAAAGCCCCGGGCUCAACCUGGGAACUGCAUUUCGAACUGGCAAACUAGAGUAUGAUAGAGGGUGGUAGAAUUUCAGGUGUAGCGGUGAAAUGCGUAGAGAUCUGAAGGAAUACCGAUGGCGAAGGCAGCCACCUGGGUCAAUACUGACGCUCAUGUACGAAAGCGUGGGGAGCAAACGGGAUU
rnacentral:rRNA from 1 species